rnacentral:tRNA from 2 species
GGGCCUGUAGCUCAACUGGUCAGAGCCGGCGGCUCAUAACCGCUUGGUUGGGGGUUCGAGUCCCUCCGGGCCCA